rnacentral:rRNA from 1 species
AGAGUUUGAUCCUGGCUCAGAUUGAACGCUGUCGGCAUGGCUAAAACAUGCAAGUCGAACGAGAACCUCGCAAGAGGGGACAGUGGCGGAAGGGUGAGUAAUGCGAUCGAACGUACCCCAAGGUGGGGGAUAGGCAGGGGAAACUCUGCGUAAUACCCCAUGUGCUCUCCGGAGGAAAGGUUUACCGCCUUGGGAGCGGCGAUCGUCCUAUCAGGUAGUUGGCGGGGUAAUGGCCCACCAAGCCGAAGACGGGUAGCCGGUAUGAGAGUACGGCCGGCCACAUCGGGACUGAGACACUGCCCGGACUCCUACGGGAGGCUGCAGUAACGAAUAUUCCGCAAUGGGCGCAAGCCUGACGGAGCAAUGCCGAGUGCAGGAUGAAGCGGCUUCGCCGUGUAAACUGCUGUCAGGGGUCAGAAACACUGAUCGACCCCAGAGGAAGAGGCGGCUAACUCUGUGCCAGCAGCCGCGGUAAUUC